rnacentral:rRNA from 1 species
GACGAACGCUGGCGGCGUGCUUAACACAUGCAAGUCGAACGCUGAACCCGCUUCGGUGGGGGAUGAGUGGCGAACGGGUGAGUAACACGUGGGCAACCUGCCCCCGGCUCUGGGAUAACUCCAAGAAAUUGGGGCUAAUACCGGAUGUGACCGCUGGCCGCAUGGUCUGGUGGUGGAAAGGGUUUCCGGCUGGGGAUGGGCCCGCGGCCUAUCAGCUUGUUGGUGGGGUAGUGGCCUACCAAGGCGACGACGGGUAGCCGGCCUGAGAGGGUGACCGGCCACACUGGGACUGAGACACGGCCCGGACUCCUACGGGAGGCAGCAGUGGGGAAUAUUGCGCAAUGGGCGGAAGCCUGACGCAGCGACGCCGCGUGGGGGAUGACGGCCUUCGGGUUGUAAACCUCUUUCAGCAGGGACGAAGCGCAAGUGACGGUACCUGCAGAAGAAGCACCGGCCAACUACGUG